rnacentral:rRNA from 1 species
AGUGAACGCUGGCGGCGUGCCUAAUACAUGCAAGUCGAACGGAGAUUAAGUAGCUUGCUAUUUAAUCUUAGUGGCGCACGGGUGAGUAAUGUAUAGUUAAUCUGCCCCAUAGUGGAGGACAACAGUUAGAAAUGACUGCUAAUACUCCAUACUCCUUCUUAUCAUAAGUUAGGUCGGGAAAGUUUUUCGCUAUGGGAUGAGACUAUAUCGUAUCAGCUAGUUGGUAAGGUAAUGGCUUACCAAGGCUAUGACGCGUAACUGGUCUGAGAGGAUGAUCAGUCACAUUGGAACUGAGACACGGUCCAAACUCCUACGGGAGGCAGCAGUAGGGAAUAUUGCGCAAUGGGGGAAACCCUGACGCAGCAACGCCGCGUGGAGGAUGACACUUUUCGGAGCGUAAACUCCUUUUGUUAGGGAAGAAUAAUGACGGUGCCUAACGAAUAAGCACCGGCUAACUCCGUGCCAGCAGCCGCGGUAAUACGGAGGGUGCAAGCGUUACUCGGAAUCACUGGGCGUAAAGGACGCGUAGGCGGAUUAUCAAGUCUCUUGUGAAAUCUAGUGGCUUAACCACUAAACUGCUUGGGAAACUGAUAAUCUAGAGUAAGGGAGAGGCAGAUGGAAUUCUUGGUGUAGGGGUAAAAUCCGUAGAGAUCAAGAAGAAUACUUAUUGCGAAGGCGAUCUGCUAGAACUUAACUGACGCUAAUGCGUGAAAGCGUGGGGAGCAAACAGG